CCUGCGGGGAAGCUUCUGCUGCGGAUGCCCAGCGGGGCGGCUCCCAGGGAAUCGCCGCCUGUCCCCCUCCUGCCCCAUUGUUAUGGGGUAAGAGGACUGUGCGGCCUUGUCAGCGUGUUCGCGCCCCAGCCCUCGGGGAAUUCUUGCUUUGGGCAGAGUAACCAUAUGUUUUUGUAUCUGGUAGGACUCGCGGCUCCCGGGUGCUUGCGCCUUCAAGGGGUUUGGUGCUCCAUUGGAAACAGGUUUCAGGCGAUCUCUUGUACCACAGUUCACACGGAUUCCCUCUUCCUUUCCUGAUUUCUCAGAGCAGUAAGUGCCGGUAGGGUAUCCUGUGCUUCCAGAUUGCUCUCAGUUGCCUCUUCUAUUGACUGGAUGAUCUGUGAUCCACGGACGGGAUCUGAGGCACCCCUAAGAACACCACAUUCAGUGGUGGGUGGCGGGGGCUCUGGGCUCCACCCCAAGCCACCCUCGGCUACCAUCUCCUGCCCAGACCCGCAGCUGGCAGCUGGUGGGAGAGGCUGCACUGAGCCAACAGCCCUGCACGGGAGUCAGGGGCUUGGGUUUGUUUUUCUCUCAGCUGCUACCCGACCUUGCCUUUGUGGCUUCUCCCUUUCAUCCAGGGGUGGCACAAGUUCUGCUCCCAGAAUAGGAGGUGGAAACCAACAGCAGGAGGGGUUCCCAGGCACCCCUAGAGCUGUGAAGCCAGAGCUCCCUCCACCUCUCCCACCGGGCCACGCUGGGUGGCUUUCAACAGGAAGCCGGUGGUGAGACUGAAGAGUCAAUGGCAGGAAAAGAGGACAGAGGAUGAGCCCUGGGGCACAGAUGUCUGACCUGGGCAUCGGUCUGAGCUGGAGGAGGAGUCAGCCCGGUCCCUGCACCGCAGCCCGCCAGCGCCCAGAGCCACCUCUUGCUAUGGAACAAAAGCAAAGAGACUUGGGGAACCAAGGAGAGGUUUCCUGGAGGAAGACUGAGGACUCCUCAGGGAUUCGCCAGUACUGAUUAUUUUCCAGAUGCUGGCUGCAGGCCUCUGGGGAGCACAGAGAGGGGCCUGGCAGGAUCUGGGCG
rnacentral:lncRNA from 1 species